UCACUCCUGCCUCAGGCCUCAGCCACCACAGUAAGUGGAACUCUAUACCUCCACCUCGCCUGGCUGGGUGGAGCCUCUAAACUCAGGAUUCUGCCUUGAGCUGUGGCUCUCCCCUCAGGUUGACAGGGUCCAGAGCAAAACCUACGGAAGAAGCUGCAGAGGCCAGGUGGAGGGAAGGAUGCUGAACUGGAGGAGGCCAGGAAAUUAUGAGGUACACCAAUCAAACAUAGUGUGUCCAGAAUUUGUGGGUUCUUGGUCUCACUGACUUCAAGAACGAAGCUGCGGACCCUCACGAAUGUGCACUGCCAUCUGUGGCUGUCUUCCUGCUGGCAAAUCCUUUUCAUUCCAAGCAAAUAAGAUUCCCUAAAUUAGACAAAAA
ensembl:lncRNA novel transcript, antisense to C7orf33 and CNTNAP2